rnacentral:rRNA from 1 species
AGAUAGAAAGUUACUUCGGUACAUCGGUGACAGGUGGUGCAUGGUUGUCGUCAGCUCGUGUCGUGAGAUGUUGGUUAAGUCCGCAACGAGCGCAACCCCUAUUGUUUAGUUGCCAUCAUUCAGUUGGGCACUCUAGCGAGACUGCCGGUAAUAAACCGGAGGAAGGUGGGGAUGACGUCAAAUCAUCAUGCCCCUUAUGACCUGGGCUACACACGUGCUACAAUGGUUGGUACAACGAGUUGCGAGUCGGUGACGGCGAGCUAAUCUCUUAAAGCCAAUCUCAGUUCGGAUUGUAGGCUGCAACUCGCCUACAUGAAGUCGGAAUCGCUAGUAAUCGCGGAUCAGCACGCCGCGGUGAAUACGUUCCCGGGCCUU